rnacentral:rRNA from 1 species
CCCUUAGAUGUUCUGGGCCGCACGCACGCUACACUGAUGCAUUCAACGAGUUUCUUCCUGGUCCGAGAGGAAUGGGUAACCUUUUGAAAGUGCAUCGUGAUAGGGAUAGACUAUUGCAAUUAUUGGUCUCCAACGAGGAAUUCCUAGUAGACGUAGUUCAUCAGACUGCAUCGAUUACGUCCCUGCCCUUUGUACACACCGCCCGUCGCUCCUACCGAUUGAAUGCUCAGGUGAGCCAUUCGGACUUUCAUCAUGCUGGUUUCCAGUUUUGAUGAAGGAAAGUCUUGCGAACCUUAUCAUUUAGAGGAAGGAGAAGUCGUAACA